CAUCAAAUUGGUGUAUGACGAGAAAUAUGAAGAAGCAUAAAGCUUCAAUUUGAAUGAUUUCCAGAAGAAUCGUAAUAGCAGCUAUUACGCAAGAAGAGAGAAGAUUCUAAAUGGGGAUUGGUCCAGGAAGGUUUGGUAUCCAUAUUGAAGCUCAACUAAUUCAGAUUUGGACGUUUCAAAUCCCCAUAGCUACUGGCAGUGCUCCCAACAUGAUUUUUUUCAUUCCGACGGCUCGAAGUCGAAACUUAUGAUUGAGCGCGUGGAGGAAUCACAAUCAUCCUACUACAAUCCAUGUUGGUAUUAGCAAUGAGAGUUGAUUCAAAAGGCCUCACCAAUAUUAGUUCUUAGUUUUUUGGUUUACUUUUGAUUAUUUUUAAGUUUCUAUACAUUAAUUGAUUAGACGAAAAACAUGAAAAGCAUCAAGGAUGAGACGCUUAACAUUACUUGUAAGUUUGAUGUUUGCUUGGAGUGAACUAUAAAGCCAUGUAGUGUUUGCUUAGAAAGAAAUUUAAAAUUUGAUAUUUUUUUAGUA